rnacentral:rRNA from 1 species
ACGGGUGAGUAAUGCCUAGGAAUCUGCCUGGUAGUGGGGGAUAACGCUCGGAAACGGACGCUAAUACCGCAUACGUCCUACGGGAGAAAGCAGGGGACCUUCGGGCCUUGCGCUAUCAGAUGAGCCUAGGUCGGAUUAGCUAGUUGGUGAGGUAAUGGCUCACCAAGGCGACGAUCCGUAACUGGUCUGAGAGGAUGAUCAGUCACACUGGAACUGAGACACGGUCCAGACUCCUACGGGAGGCAGCAGUGGGGAAUAUUGGACAAUGGGCGAAAGCCUGAUCCAGCCAUGCCGCGUGUGUGAAGAAGGUCUUCGGAUUGUAAAGCACUUUAAGUUGGGAGGAAGGGCAUUUACCUAAUACGUAAGUGUUUUGACGUUACCGACAGAAUAAGCACCGGCUAACUCUGUGCCAGCAGCCGCGGUAAUACAGAGGGUGCAAGCGUUAAUCGGAAUUACUGGGCGUAAAGCGCGCGUAGGUGGUUUGUUAAGUUGAAUGUGAAAUCCCCGGGCUCAACCUGGGAACUGCAUCCCAAACUGGCAAGCUAGAGUAUGGUAGAGGGUGGUGGAAUUUCCUGUGUAGCGGU